UUCGCAAUGCCCGAAAGGGUGAACGAGCGACGCCGCGUGCGGGAUGAAGGGUUUCGGCUUGUAAACCGCUUUUCUUUGGGAAGAAGGUCUGUCUCGUGAAGAUGGGCUCGACGGUACCAGAGGAAUAAGCCUCGGCUAACUCCGUGCCAGCAGCCGCGGUAAGACGAACCGUGCGAACGUUGUUCGGAUUCACUGGGCUUAAAGGGCGCGUAGGCGGGCGGUCAAGUCAGGGGUGAAAUCUUUACGGCUCAGCCGGAAAAGUGCCUUUGAUACUGGCCGUCUCGAGGGAGGUAGGGGCAUGCGGAACUUCCGGUGGAGCGGUGAAAUGCGUAUAUAUCGGAAGGAACGCCGGUGGCGAAAGCGGCGUGCUGGACCUCUUCUGACGCUGAGGCGCGAAAGCCAGGGGAGCAAACGGGAUUAGAUACGCCGGUAGUCCUGGCCCUAAACGAUGGGCACUAAGUAGAGGGGUUUU
rnacentral:rRNA from 1 species